GUCCUCUUGGAUUAAAUUUGAGGUUUAACCUGCCCACUGAAAUAUUUAAAUGGCCGCAGUAAUUUGACUGUGCAAAGGUAGCAUAAUCAUUAGUUUUUUAAUUAAAAGCUUGUAUGAAGGGUUGGACGAGGUAAAAUCUGUCUCUAUUUAAUUUAUAAUAAAAUUUAAUUUUUAAGUUAAAAAGCUUAAAUAUUAUUAAAAGACGAGAAGACCCUAUAGAUCUUUAUAUUAUUUAAAUUAAUUUUAAUAUAGAAUUUUUAAUUUUUUAUUUUGAAUAAUAUUUUAUUGGGGUAAUAAAAAGAUUUAAUAAAUUCUUUUUAAAUUAUACAUUGAUAUAUGAUUAAAUGAUCCAAUUUUUUUGAUUAAAAGAUUAAGUUACCUUAGGGAUAACAGCGUAAUUUUUUUAAAGAGUUCAUAUCGAUAAAAAAGUUUGCGA
rnacentral:rRNA from 1 species